CUUAGCAUUUAUUUCUUCUCCCCUUCUCCUCUCACACGAGCAAGCAUCGCCGCCGCCGGUCGCCGCCGGGAAGUCGUCCGGCGCACUCCCCGCCGGGGAUCCGGAUCGGGCCACCUCUUGGCGCUAGAAACCAUGGGCGGCAGCGGCCCUGUGACCCGUGGUUUCCGGCGGGGAUGAAGACGAGCGGCUCGCGGAUCCAUGUCUUCCAACGGGAUGGCGGCCAGUACUCGUGGGGUAGGCGAUGUCCGGAUCAGCCCCUCCCUGCACCCCAUCCCCAUCGCCGGCCCCUUCCCGGCAGCGGCCACGCCAACGGCCGGCCUCCCCGGCACGCGGCCUGCAAAGACCCUCUGCUCCCCUGCGGUGGUCUGAUGGCUUUGUCGCCGCUGCUUCCCUGCGUGCUGGUUGUGAGACGGGAUCAGGGGCCGAUUGCCUCCGUCACCGCCCCUUCCGGCCAAGGUGAGGAUUUUUGUCAUCCUUUUUUUUUCCUGUACGUGUUGUGCUUAGAAUUCACCUAGGGUUACUUACUAUUUUUCACUUGACAUUGAGCUUGUGAUUUGCGUUUAGGAGUACAUUAUUGGAUUACUGAUGUAAUUCUCGUGUGAAAUGGAGUACUGCUCUUCUGCUCAAAUUAAUUAAAACAAAAUGUGUAUAGUUUUAACAGCAAAACUCAGCUUUGCCAAUGGAUGAGGCACUGCUGACCCUCAUUUAAGGGAAAACUCAGCUUUGCAAUCAGCUAAAGAGGUAUUUCCUGUCAGAUAUAUAAUGCAGAGCUCACAGAAAGACGUAAAUUUAUUGAACUCCUUUUGCUGGAAAUUAUGAUUAAUUUUGUUCUUAUGUAGAAUGUCUUUAAUUUGCAUCUGAAUUUCUUGUGCCACACACACGCAACUGCUCUGACACGGAUGAGUGCUAGCACACAAACACUGUGUUUGCUAGGUGAUUGAGGACGCAUUUGCACAAAAACCGUUGGAUGAGACACUGCAAUUGUGGUGAUUAGCAAGCAAGUUACUGCUCCAUGUAACCAUCUCAUACAAGAUCGUUAUACAAUUGUGGUGAUCAGCAAGCAAGUUACUGCUUCUUUCCACUCUUGCUAAUUUUGAAUUUUCUUACACCAUUUUAUUUGAUUGUCGGUUCUGCUGCAUUUCAGAUGGCACUCUGUCAAUAGCUCCAAACUAAUUCAGAAAAGCAUCUAUGAUCUCUCAAAGUGGUGUGUCUGUCCAGCCGUUACCAAUGGUUGCCGUAGCUGGCUUGUGGUGCUCUACCUCACGUAUGUCAGUGCCCAUGUGAAGAUUCAAGCUGCAAAUGGUUGUGUAUAGUUAGGAUAAUAUCCUGUCAAUGGACCCAGUUUUCCUAUUUCUUAGCAAUAUAUAUUUGUUACAAGGGAUGUGUUAUCAAAAUUUUAGCAUCUUGUUUCCAGUUUUGUUUGUACAUUGCCGUCGAAACUGGGUACCAAUGAACACAAAACUGAAACGCUUUAACCAACAGCACAAGAACUCAAGAAGGUUCAA